rnacentral:rRNA from 1 species
AUUGAACGCUGGCGGCAGGCCUAACACAUGCAAGUCGAACGGUAACAGGAAUCAGCUUGCUGAUUCGCUGACGAGUGGCGGACGGGUGAGUAAUGCCUGGGAAACUGCCUGAUGGAGGGGGAUAACUACUGGAAACGGUAGCUAAUACCGCAUAACGUCGCAAGACCAAAGAGGGGGACCUUCGGGCCUCUUGCCAUCGGACGUGCCCAGAUGGGAUUAGCUAGUAGGUGGGGUAAUGGCUCACCUAGGCGACGAUCUCUUGCUGGUCUCAGAGGAUGACCAGCCACACGGGAACUGAGACACGGUCCAGACUCCUACGGGAGGCAGCAGUGGGGAAUAUUGCACAAUGGGCGCAAGCCUGAUGCAGCCAUGCCGCGUGUAUGAAGAAGGCCUUCGGGUUGUAAAGUACUUUCAGCGAGGAGGAAGGUGUUGAGGUUAAUAACCUUAGCAAUUGACGUUACUCGCAGAAGAAGCACCGGCUAACUCCGUGCCAGCCGCCGCGGUAA